AUUGAACGCUGGCGGCAGGCCUAACACAUGCAAGUCGAACGAGUGGCGGACGGGUGAGUAAUGUCUGGGAAACUGCCCGAUGGAGGGGGAUAACUACUGGAAACGGUAGCUAAUACCGCAUACCAUCGGAUGUGCCCAGAUAGGAUUAGCUAGUAGGUGGGGUAACGGCUCACCUAGGCGACGAUCCCUAGCUGGUCUGAGAGGAUGACCAGCCAAACUGGAACUAGGCCACGGUCCAGACACCUACGGGAGGCAGCAGUGGGGAAUAUUACAAGAUGGGCGCAAGCCAGAUGCAGCCAUGCCGCGUGUAUGAAGAGAGACUUCGGGUUGUAAAGUACUUUCAGCGAGGAGGCGUUACUCGAAGAAGAAGCACCGGCUAACUCCGUGCCAGCAGCCGCGGUAAUUC
rnacentral:rRNA from 1 species